CAAACUCCAGUGACCAUAAGAAUCACCUGGAGAGCUUGUUAAAGCACAGAUUUGUGGGCCCCUCACCUGAGAUUCUGAUUCAGUGGGUCUGGAGGGGGGACUUUGCAUUUCUAAUAAGCUCCCAAGUGAUGCUGCAUAGGGCUGCCACAAAUAGUAGGGGCUCAGUCAAGUUAGUAUAAUAGGAUUUUUUUUCCUCUUAUGUUGAAGUCCAUAGGCAGAUAGUCCAGCCUAGUACCAAGGUUUCAGAACCUAGGCUUUUCCCCCUCUCCUUCCUGCCUUAAAUGGCAUUUGGUUUCCUACUCAUGUUUCAGAAUGUUUGCUUGAGCUACAGCCAUCAUGUCCACAUUCAAACCAGUAAGAAAGAGGAAGGGGGAAAGGAUGUCUUCUCUCUUUUUAAGGACAUAUCUCAGAAGUUGUAUGUGACACUCUACUUACAUCUUCUUAGCCAAAACUUCCUCACAAAUCACACUAGCUGCAAAGAAAUCUGGAAAAUAUAGUUUUUAUUUGGGGUGUCAUAUGCCCAGCUAAAAAUCAAGGUUUUAUGAUCAAGGCAGAAGAGAAUGCACUUCUGACAUUACUGAUUUUUAAUGUUACAGCAAACCUUUCCCAACUCUUUCCAGCCAGAGGUUUGCAAUCUAAAACCUGCAAUGGGCUAGGAAAUUACAAUAAAAUUCUGAAUUUCAAACUCUGAUCACCCCUCUACAGGUAAGUAUUAUUUCUUUCAUUUCUGUGUUCAAGAAAUUGAGUCUCAGAGAGCUUCAGUGACUUUCCCGAGAUCUCUCGGUAACUAAAUGCCCCAACCAAGAUUUAAACUCAACCCUGCCAAAGCCCAGGCUUCUAAUGCAUCAUUCUACAUCACAGGAAUCCCACAUAUGUUUGCAGGAUGAGCCUUGAAUCAACCAACUACUGUUGCAUACUAUGCAACCACAAAACUCUGAGACCUAGACACUUAUUUUACUACCAUGUCUACGAGUCAACUGGAGACCAGCUGCUCUAGGCUGGGCUGGACUGGACUCCUCCAAGCCACAGCUGGGUCUGAGUCUGCUCCAUGGUUCUCCAUCUUCCUCAGACUUGUGGGCCUACCAGGGUAGAGCCUUCUCAUGCCAAAAGCAGAGAAGCACAUCUCACUGCUGCUUGUAGUGGGUCUGCUUCCAUUCCCUUGACUGAAGGAAGUCACAUGGCCAAGACAAAAGCUAGGCAGUACAGUCCUCCAGGAGGGAGUAAAUAUUUCUGAAUAUGUUCUUAUUUACCCCAAGUCCCUAUGCAGAUGCAUUGGAAUGGGAAGAGCCCCAGACUGAGAAUUAGAAGUCCCUAGUUCUAGUCCCAGACCUGCCAUGAAUGACUUGUGUGGCCUUGGACAAAAUACUAGCACCUUCUGGGCCUCAUGUUUGUUCUAGAGAUCUCUAAGGCAUAUGCAGGCUUUAACUUAAGAAGCUAUGGCAUGAAAAAACAAAUAAUUGCCUCUCAAAAUUCUAAUCUCCUCUGAAUGUAGCUUAGUCUUUAUGCAAAAAUAAACACACACACUAGAGUCUCUUCAAAACCACUGGGCUAAUAAUGUUCAUGAUUCUGUUAAUGACCAAACUGGAGCACAGUGCAGCUGGUCCUGCUGGUCACAGGAAGGCCCCAGAAAGAAAUGAAGCCAUCAAGAAGCCAUUGAUGCUGUGACCUUCUGUUGCAGGCUGCUCCUCUACUUAGACAGGGAGAAGAUGGCCAUCUAUGAACCAGGAAGCCCUCACUAGACCCCAAGUCUGCCAGCACCUCGAACUUGGAUUCCUCAGUCUUCACAACAGUGUGAGCUGACUCACCGUCAUGCUGUCUCUGAGAAGACUCCAUCUCUUGGAGAACAAUCUGCCUUGUUCAUGGCAUGAUGCAUGAAGAAAAGCAGCUGGGCAGGAGAGGGACAGAAAAAUCUCCCAUCUUCCUGCAUAGCUGAGGCUUUCCCUACUCCUAGGGAGAAGGCACUGAAGUGAAUCCCAUGAACAUUCUCAACUGUUUCCAAAAUGUUGCCAAUAUUCUUCUGUGUAUUGAUAUUUUGAAAUCCCCAAUGUAGUGGUAUGUUGUAUUUUAGCCCAGAUUUCAAAUUGUAUAUGUUUCAUUCU
rnacentral:lncRNA from 1 species